AGUGAACGCUGGCGGUAGGCCUAACACAUGCAAGUCGAACGGCAGCACAGUAAGAGCUUGCUCUUACGGGUGGCGAGUGGCGGACGGGUGAGGAAUACAUCGGAAUCUACUUUUUCGUGGGGGAUAACGUAGGGAAACUUACGCUAAUACCGCAUACGACCUACGGGUGAAAGCAGGGGAUCUUCGGACCUUGCGCGAUUGAAUGAGCCGAUGUCGGAUUAGCUAGUUGGCGGGGUAAAGGCCCACCAAGGCGACGAUCCGUAGCUGGUCUGAGAGGAUGAUCAGCCACACUGGAACUGAGACACGGUCCAGACUCAUACGGGAGGCAGCAGUGGGGAAUAUUGGACAAUGGGCGCAAGCCUGAUCCAGCCAUACCGCGUGGGUGAAGAAGGCCUUCGGGUUGUAAAGCCCUUUUGUUGGGAAAGAAAAGCAGCAGGUUAAGACCCCGCUGUUCUGACGGUACCUAAAGAAUAAGCACCGGCUAACUUCGU
rnacentral:rRNA from 1 species